rnacentral:rRNA from 1 species
CCUACGGGGGGCAGCAGUGGGGAAUAUUGCGCAAUGGGCGAAAGCCUGACGCAGCGACGCCGCGUGAGGGAUGAAGGUCUUCGGAUCGUAAACCUCUGUCAGCAGGGAAGAACGGUCACUGUGCUAAUCAGCAGUGACUUGACGGUACCUGCAAAGGAAGCACCGGCUAACUCCGUGCCAGCAGCCGCGGUAAUACGGAGGGUGCGAGCGUUAAUCGGAAUUACUGGGCGUAAAGCGCUCGUAGGCGGUAUGUCAAGUCAAGGGUGAAAUCCCCGCGCUCAACGUGGGAACUGCCUUUGAAACUGGCAAACUGGAGUGUGUAAGAGGAUAGUGGAAUUCCAGGUGUAGGGGUGAAAUCCGUAGAUAUCUGGAGGAACAUCAGUGGCGAAGGCGACUAUCUGGCACAUAACUGACGCUGAGGAGCGAAAGCGUGGGUAGCAAACAGGAUUAGAUACCCCUGUAGUC